AGCUCACUAGUCAAGUGCUCUUGCGCGGAUAAUGUACCGGGGCUAAGCAUAUUACCGAAACUGUGGAUGCGUAAGCAUGGUAGGAUAGCGUAAUUAACGCGAUGAAGGAUGACCGUAAGGACAUGUUGGAGCGUUAACUAGUGAGAAUUCCGGUAUGAGUAGCGAAAGAUAGGUGAGAAUCCUAUCCACCGAAUGAGUAAGGUUUCCCCCGGAAGGCUCGUCCGCGGGGGGUUAGUCGGGACCUAAGGCGAGGCUGAAAAGCGUAGUCGAUGGACAACAGGUUGAUAUUCCUGUACCGAUAUUUAAUUGCCGAAGGAAGGACGCAGAAGGAUAACACAGGCCACUAUUGGAUGUGGUUUUAAACAGUUAGUCUUCAUAAGAGUCAAAUGCUUUUAUGUUUAAGGAUAAGCUGUGAAUGUACCAAGUUUACUUGGAAAUUGUGUGAUUUCACGCUGCUGAAAAAAGUUUCGUAGGAAGAAAAUAUUGCCCGUACCGCAAACCGACACAGGUACUCAAGUGGAGAACACUAAGGUGAGCGAGUGAACUAUUGUUAAGGAACUCUGCAAAAUGAGUCCGUAACUUCGGAAGAAGGACUGCUGGUUUUAUACCAGCCGCAGCAAAUAGGCCCAAACAACUGUUUAUCAAAAACACAGGUUUCUGCAAAAUCGUAAGAUGAAGUAUAGGGGCUGACGCCUGCCCAGUGCUGGAAGGUUAAAAGGAGGACUUAGCUUCGGCGAAGGUCUUAAUUGAAGCCCCAGUGAACGGCGGCCGUAACUAUAACGGUCCUAAGGUAGCGAAAUUCCUUGUCGGGUAAGUUCCGACCCGCAUGAAAGGCGUAAUGAUUUGGGCGCUGUCUCAACAAUAGACUCGGUGAAAUUUAAAUUCCAGUGAAGAUGCUGGGUACCCGCGACAGGACGGAAAGACCCCGUGGAGCUUUACUGUAGCUUGAUAUUGAAUGUUUGUGCUGCAUGUGCAGGAUAGGUAGGAGACUUUGAAGUCGGAACGCUAGUUUCGAUUGAGUCACCCUUGAGAUACUACCUCUGUUGUAUGAACGUUCUAACUCUGAUCAGUUAUCCUGAUCGAAGACAGUGUCUGGCAGGCAGUUUGACUGGGGCGGUCGCCUCCUAAAAGAUAACGGAGGCGCUCAAAGGUUUGCUCAGAAUGGUUGGAAAUCAUUCGUAGCGUGUAAAGGCAUAAGCAAGCUUGACUGUGAGACUGACAAGUCGAGCAGGUACGAAAGUAGGACUUAGUGAUCCGGUGGUUCCGUAUGGAAGGGCCAUCGCUCAACGGACAAAAGCUACCCCGGGGAUAACAGGCUCAUCUCCCCCAAGAGUCCACAUCGACGGGGAGGUUUGGCACCUCGAUGUCGGCUCAUCGCAUCC
rnacentral:rRNA from 1 species